rnacentral:tRNA from 1 species
UGUCAGAAGUGGGAUUCGACCCACGCCCAUAUCAUUGGACCAGAACACCCAACUCCCGCUACGGGAUAAAAUUUACUCUUGAGUCUGGCGCCUUAGACCACUCGGCCAUUCUGAC